GACGGGUGAGUAAUGCCUAGGAAAUUGCCCUGAUGUGGGGGAUAACCAUUGGAAACGAUGGCUAAUACCGCAUGAUGCCUACGGGCCAAAGAGGGGGACCUUCGGGCCUCUCGCGUCAGGAUAUGCCUAGGUGGGAUUAGCUAGUUGGUGAGGUAAGGGCUCACCAAGGCGACGAUCCCUAGCUGGUCUGAGAGGAUGAUCAGCCACACUGGAACUGAGACACGGUCCAGACUCCUACGGGAGGCAGCAGUGGGGAAUAUUGCACAAUGGGCGCAAGCCUGAUGCAGCCAUGCCGCGUGUGUGAAGAAGGCCUUCGGGUUGUAAAGCACUUUCAGUCGUGAGGAAGGUAGUGUAGUUAAUAGCUGCAUUAUUUGACGUUAGCGACAGAAGAAGCACCGGCUAACUCCGUGCCAGCAGCCGCGGUAAUACGGAGGGUGCGAGCGUUAAUCGGAAUUACUGGGCGUAAAGCGCAUGCAGGUGGUUUGUUAAGUCAGAUGUGA
rnacentral:rRNA from 1 species